rnacentral:SRP_RNA from 1 species
GUUCGGACCCUGUGCAAGUUCAGACGACGAACCGCGUCAGGGCCGGAAGGCAGCAGCGCUCAGUCGACCCUGCACUGUGCCGCAGGUCAUCCGGACCGC